AUUAUUCCACUGUAGUCUAAAGUAGUCACUCACUCAUAUGGCAGCCAUUUUGAAUUGGACAAUAGCCUCCACCACGCCUACCCUCGCAUUUAAGUGCUUUAGAAUAAAUUUAAACAAGGGUUAAACAAGGGUUUUUAUUGUCAUAAGAUUAAAACAUGGCUGCCGUUUGAAUGUGGCCCAUGCAUGGUUGUCAUUUUUGUGUUCGGUCAAUACAAAUAGAUUACAUUUCAAUCUUUUAUCAUUUCUCUUCGUUUUGUUAAAACUACCUUUUUCUUUUUUUUUUCCUUGCAGGAAACGGUAUGAACUGAAGCUAAGUUAACGAUAUUAACCACAGGGACCCAAAUAAGAUAAAGAUCAGGGGAACAUUUUAUUAUACUCUAAAUACAAUCACCUAGAAGCUGAUGGGCAAGAGGAUACGAACGAAAUCAUACUUUUUACUCGCACUUAAUUUGAGAUAUUUCUUCUGUAUAACCCUAUUUAGCAUAUACAGCCUACUGAGCAUCCACGACAACUUUGAAAAUGGUCUAUAAUAUGAUCUACAUAAGAUAAAUAGAUAAACCGUUAGUAGUUUUACGAUAAUACAGAAUUAAAAAAAACUGUAGCCCUCGUUCCAUGAUCGAAUUGGAAUUGAUUUUGCAGAGGGAGGAAACCGGAGAAACUGGAGAAAAACCCUCUAAUUAAAUGAGGUAACUAAACCAACAAGUUGUUCACCUUUGAUGGCCGGUCCGAGGAUAAUAACAUCAGUAGGUUUGUAUAGGAAAUCGCAUGGUUUCGAGUGCACUUUGGAUGCAAAUUAAUUCCAAAGUACACGAGAAUACCAUGCGAUUUCUUGUUAAUAAUAUAGAUGCAAAAAUUUCGAACCAAAAUUAGAUAGAAAAAAGAUGUGUUGGAAAAAAAUGCACGAAGCGAAGAACUCGUUUGUUUUUGUCAAAAAUCAGUUUACAAAACAAUAUUUUAUUUACAAAACAAGAAAGAAAUAUGAAGGCUGAAGAGGGAACGCUCUUCUGUUGCUAUGACAACUGCUGUUAUCUGAUUGGCUAGUUUGAAUUUCUUUUGUCUUUUCAACCAAUCACUGAAAAGUGUUUCAUAUUUUUGCACUGUUGUUUCAGGAAAACAGCACUGCUCUCAACCAAUCAGAAGUGAGAACUUUUUGCAUCUAUAUUAUUAAUUAAAUAAACUGACCUCUCCAUGGCCAGCUGAAAGAUGUCCUUUCAAAUUCUCUUGUUAAUGCAACAUAUAUGCUUGAGCGCUAGUUUUCACCGCAUGUAAAAACGACUGUCAUUGGCUGCUUUAAGGUACUUGCAAAAUAACACUCAUCACGUGAUGUUAUCAUAAACAAUAGCCACGAAGUGCAAUGUAUUGGUAUGAGUUAAAAAUUAGCCGAAAAUAGCCAGAUAGAGGGGUUCAUGAGAUAGCUAAUAGAUAGAUGGCGAGGGGUAAAUUUGCUUUAAUCUUUGCAUAUGCAGAAAAAAAAAGCUCCUUAAAAUUCCGUUUCGUUAAGAUUAAAAAAAGCUUUUAGUGUA